UGGACAGUACUGACGCUGAGAUGCGAAAGCGUGGGGAGCAAACAGGAUUAGAUACCCUGGUAGUCCACGCUGUAAACGAUGUCGAUUUGGAGUUUGUUGCCUAGAGUGAUGGGCUCCGAAGCUAACGCGAUAAAUCGACCGCCUGGGGAGUACGGCCGCAAGGUUAAAACUCAAAUGAAUUGACGGGGGCCCGCACAAGCGGUGGAGCAUGUGGUUUAAUUCGAUGCAACGCGAAGAACCUUACCUGGUCUUGACAUCCAUAGAAUUCUGCAGAGAUGUGGGAGUGCCUUCGGGAACUAUGAGACAGGUGCUGCAUGGCUGUCGUCAGCUCGUGUUGUGAAAUGUUGGGUUAAGUCCCGCAACGAGCGCAACCCUUAUUCUUUGUUGCCAGCGAUUUGGUCGGGAACUCAAAGGAGACUGCCGUUGAUAAAGCGGAGGAAGGUGGGGACGACGUCAAGUCAUCAUGGCCCUUACGACCAGGGCUACACACGUGCUACAAUGGCGUAUACAAAGGGAAGCGAAGGUGCGAGCUGGAGCGGAUCUCAUAAAGUACGUCUAAGUUCGGAUUGGAGUCUGCAACUCGACUCCAUGAAGUCGGAAUCGCUAGUAAUCGUAGAUCAGAAUGCUACGGUGAAUACGUUCCCGGGCCUUGUACACACCGCCCGUCACACCAUGGGAGUGGGUUGCACCAGAAGUAGAUAGCUUAACCGCGAGGGGGGCGUUUACCACGGUGUGAUUCAUGACUGGGGUGAAGUCGUAACAAGGUAACCA
rnacentral:rRNA from 1 species